CGACCAAAAUGUAUUCAAUGCUAAUGAAUGCUGUAUGCGGUACAAAAAAAGCCUGCGGCAAAAACACACUUACUUCACUUACGCACCACAUACACAUGCGUUAUCGGAUUUCAACCAAACUUCAUAUAAACCAUAUAUGGACCACUGCCUACGUAGUGUGUAAGUUUGGUUGAAAUCGUACGACGUGUUUAUGAUUAGUUCGGCGACGUACAUAUACGGACUUAUUUUUAUAAAUAUAUAUAGAUUUCAAUUCAUCAUGAAAUAGUUUAAUUUGUACGUACAUGCUUAUUUGCUUUGAUAUAAAAUAUAUAGAAAAUAUACAUACAUAUGUAUGUAUGUAUAUGUAUGCAGAGUCGUUUGCGCAUUGUAAAUAUGCGAAUCUGUAAGCGUACACUCCUUAACAUCGGAAAUAGCAUAAGUUUUCUUAUUAAACACUGAAAAUGCUCAAUUCUGCUAUUUUCAUGCCCCUGAUGUUAAGUGGUGAAACGCGCUAAUAAUUUUCUGUGGUGAAAUGCUCUCAUCCAAAACAGUAAAUAUCCCAAAAUUGAAAUAUCCCUAAAUUUUUGACAUCGUGAACCUUCUCUAUAAAUAUACGUUCUCUGGUGAAACUCUUCCAUCUCAACCAAGUUAGCCAAAAAUAUUUUUACGUUCUCCGCGCCGUGAACCUUCUCUAUGAUAAACGUUCUCUGGUUUAGAGUUACGAUGUUAAAGUUUUAAUUCUUUUGUUUUAUACGAUAUACAUUUUUUUCACGAUUUAAGUGCUGAAUACAAUACGACGACAGACGACAAACGACAUCAGUCAAAUAUUAAAAUACACACGUUCUUAUGGACACUGUUAUUUUGACGACGACACGACUAUAACGACAGUUGUCGUUCUCGCUAACUUAAAUAUUCUCCUAUAUUUGCCAAUGACAGUAGGACGACAGUAGAGUUGACAGUAGAAUGGAAGAUAGAGAGAUGAGGAAGAGUGGUGAUGUCACUAAUAUGUAAAAUGUAAAAUUAUUCACAGCUCUUACAAACUUGACGUUAUUUUACAAAUAAAAGCAUAAAAUAGCUCUAUUUUACCAUUUGUAAUAACAAUUGAUAAUUUAAAACAAAUAAAUUUAGCUAUUUACUUAUUUUUUGUAUAAAAAAUUUCACUUUGAACAAAAUAUUAAAAUUUCAUUGAAGUGCAAGGUAUUAGUAUGGCCACAACGAAAUUGUGUACAUGCAAAAUGGAGAGCUGCGUUGUUUUGUGUACAUGCCGGCCAUUGUUAUGUUGAUAUUUGAGUGAAUUGGUCUACUUGCGGUAAGUAUUAUUUCAAUUGUGUAAUAUUUUUACAUUUUUUGUAUGUAAUUGGGUUUAGUAUACAAUGAAAAUAUAAUAUUUCAGAUAUAAAUAUGGACGACGAAAUUUUAAUCGAAGAAGUACGAAAUUGGCCCUUGAUUUAUGAUAUCUCGCACAGAGAUUAUAGGAAUCUAAGAAAAAAAGAUAUGGCGUGGAAACAGAUUUCUACAAACACAAGGUUGAGCGAAAUAGAAUGCAAAAAUAGGUGGAAAAGACUCCGUGACUGUUACAAACGAUGUAAAAGGAUGGAGCAAAUCGCUUCCGGGAGUGGCCAACAAACUCCCCGAAGAAAAUGGCGAUGUCUGGAGGCGAUGUCGUUUAUGGAAAAAAUUCCAAAUUCAAGGCGUACUAUUAGCAGCAUAAGCGAGGAGGUCGAAAGUAUCCAAGACAAUAGAAUUAUUGAUCCAUCUUUGGAGGCAUCAACAUCUUCGACGACAAUGGAGACGUCGCAGCCGACAUCUUCGGAUGGACGUGGACAAAAGAAAAAUAACGGUGAGGCGUUCGCCAAAUUCUUUGAAACGGCAGGCGCGAGCAUACAUAUGUACAAUGAUUGACGAAUCACGAUCGCGUAAAACCAAUUCCACCGCACAUUUUGCUUCCUUGGCUACAAAAAUUUCGGAAGCCGGUCUUCCGCCAGACAUGGUGAUACAUAUCGAGGCAAAAGUGUUGUCGGGGUGAUCGACGUGUGUUUGCCGGUAUGCCAAAUAAAAUAAAAACUAUUAGAUUUCGGG